CCUACGGGUGGCAACAGUGGGGAAUAUUGCACAAUGGGGGAAACCCUGAUGCAGCGACGCCGCGUGAGUGAGGAAGUAUUUCGGUAUGUAAAGCUCUAUCAGCAGGGAAGAAAAUGACGGUACCUGACCAAGAAGCCCCGGCCAACUACGUGCCAGCAGCCGCGGUAAUACGUAGGGGGCCAGAGUUAUCCGGAUUUACUGGGUGUAAAGGGAGCGUAGAGGGGUAAUCAAGUCAGAAGUGAAAACCCAGGGCUCAACCUUGGGAGUGCUUUUGAAACCGAGUAGCUAGAGGGCAGGAGUGGUAAGCGGAAUUCCGAGUGUAGCGGUGAAAUGCGUAGAUAUUAGGAGGAACACCAGUGGCGAAGGCGGCUUACUGGACUGUAACUGACGUUGAGGCUCGAAAGCGUGGGGAGCAAACAGGAUUAGAUACCCGAGUAGUC
rnacentral:rRNA from 1 species